UACGUAGGGUGCAAGCGUUGUCCGGAAUUAUUGGGCGUAAAGAGCUCGUAGGCGGUUUGUUGCGUCGGCUGUGAAAUCCCGAGGCUCAACCUCGGGUCUGCAGUCGAUACGAGCAAACUAGAGUGUUGCAGGGGAGACUGGAAUUCCUGGUGAUAGCGGUGAAAUGCGCAGAUAUCAGGAGGAACACCGGUGGCGAAGGCGGGUCUCUGGGCAUUACCUGACGCUGAGGAGCGAAAGUGUGGGGAGCGAACAGG
rnacentral:rRNA from 1 species